AGAGUUUGAUCCUGGCUCAGGAUGAACGCUGGCGGUAUGCUUAACACAUGCAAGUCGAACGGAAGUCUUCGGACUUUAGUGGCGGACGGGUAAGUAACGCGUGAGAAUCUGCCUAUAGGUUGGGGACAACAGAUGGAAACGUCUGCUAAUACCCGAUGUGCCGAGAGGUAAAAGCUUUAGUGCCUGUAGAUGAGCUCGCGUCCGAUUAGCUAGUUGGUCAGGUAAAAGCUGACCAAGGCGACGAUCGGUAGCUGGUCUGAGAGGAUGAUCAGCCACACUGGGACUGAGACACGGCCCAGACUCCUACGGGAGGCAGCAGUGGGGAAUUUUCCGCAAUGGGCGAAAGCCUGACGGAGCAAUACCGCGUGCGGGACGAAGGCUUUUGGGUCGUAAACCGCUUUUGUUAGGGAAGAACACAAUGACGGUACCUAACGAAUCAGCAUCGGCUAACUCCGUGCCAGCAGCCGCGGUAAUACGGAGGAUGCAAGCGUUAUCCGGAAUUAUUGGGCGUAAAGCGUCCGCAGGUGGUUUAUCAAGUCUGCUGUCAAAGCGUGGGGCUUAACCCCAUAAGGGCAGUGGAAACUGAGAGACUAGAGUACGGUAGGGGUAGCGGGAAUUCCCAGUGUAGCGGUGAAAUGCGUAGAUAUUGGGAAGAACACCAGCGGCGAAGGCGCGCUACUGGGCCGAAACUGACACUCAUGGACGAAAGCUAGGGGAGCGAAAGGGAUUAGAUACCCCUGUAGUCCU
rnacentral:rRNA from 1 species